AAUAGAACAUGAGUUGACCACAUAAUAGUCCAGCAUAUAUAUAGAGAGCUAUAAAAUUUGAGUAUUUCACAAGUCUACCUCAGAGUUUUAUGGGUCGAUUCUAGUAGGAUAGAAGCUAACCCCAGCAAAACAUGAGUCGACCCCAGAAUGAUCUUAAGGUGAAGAUAGAGAGCAAUGAAUAUGGCUCAUUCGCAAGUUGACCAUAGCACUUCAUAAAUAAACCUCGAGAUGGAACGAGUCGACCCCAACUUUAGCCAAGUAGACCUCAGAAUGGCUACAGUCAAAAUAUAGAGAGUUGUCUUAAGAGAAAGUGUUUCAUGAGUCGAUCUUUGACUGAGAAGAGUCGAUCUCUCUAUGCCUGACAACCC
rnacentral:lncRNA from 1 species